rnacentral:sRNA from 1 species
UCUGGGCAUGGUGGCACAUGCCUGUAGUCCCAGCUACUCAGAAGAUUGAGGCAGGAGAGUCUCUUGAGCCCAGGAUUCAAGAUCAGCCUGGGCAACAUGUUGAGACCCCGUCUAAA